AAAAUAUACUCAUACCUCUGGAUCGAAGAGCUUUGCUAGAAAGGAAAAGGAAAUGGAGGUUAACAGUGGAAGAAAAGUAGGAUGCCUCCAAUUUUUUAAAGCAACUCAUACCAAAAAGGAUGGUUCUCACAUGAAUGUGGAAACUGAAGAAAUUAUGGAUAAAGCCAAUGAGAAGUUAGC